rnacentral:rRNA from 1 species
GACGAACGCUGGCGGCGUGCUUAACACAUGCAAGUCGAACGGAAAGGCCCUGCUUUUGUGGGGUGCUCGAGUGGCGAACGGGUGAGUAACACGUGAGUAACCUGCCCUUGACUUUGGGAUAACUUCAGGAAAAUGGGGCUAAUACCGGAUAGGAGCUCCUGCUGCAUGGUGGGGGUUGGUAAGUUUCGGCGGUUGGGUAUGGACUCGCAGCUUAUCAGCUUGUUGGUGGGGUAGUGGCUUACCAAGGCUUUGACGGGUAGCCGGCCUGAGAGGGUUACCGGCCACAUUGGGACUAAGAGACGGCGCAGACUCCUACGGGAGGCAGCAGUGGGGAAUAUUGCACAGUGGGCGGAAGCCAGAUGCAGCAACGCCGCGUGCGGGAUGACGGCCUUCGAGUUGUAAACCGCUUUCGCCUGUGACGAAGCGUGAGUGACGGUAAUGAGUAAAGAAGCACCGGCUAACUACGUG